rnacentral:rRNA from 1 species
AGUAGCCACGGUAAUACGUAGGUGGCAAGCGUUGCCCGGAAUUAUUGGGCGUAAAGGGCUCACAGGCGGUUUCUUAAGUCUGAUGUGAAAGCCCCCGGCUCAACCGGGGAGGGUCAUUGGAAACUGGGAAACUUGAGUGCAGAAGAGGAGAGUGGAAUUCCACGUGUAGCGGUGAAAUGCGUAGAGAUGUGGAGGAACACCAGUGGCGAAGGCGACUCUCUGGUCUGUAACUGACGCUGAGGAGCGAAAGCGUGGGGAGCGAACAGGAUUAGAUACCCCCGUAGUCCCUGUCUCUUAUACA